CCGGGGGAACUGAAACAUCUAAGUACCCCGAGGAAAAGAAAUCAACUGAGAUUCCCCCAGUAGCGGCGAGCGAACGGGGAGCAGCCCAGAGCCUGAAUCAGUGUGUGUGUUAGUGGAAGCGUCUGGAAAGGCGCGCGAUACAGGGUGACAGCCCCGUACACAAAAAUGCACAUGCUGUGAGCUCGAUGAGUAGGGCGGGACACGUGGUAUCCUGUCUGAAUAUGGGGGGACCAUCCUCCAAGGCUAAAUACUCCUGACUGACCGAUAGUGAACCAGUACCGUGAGGGAAAGGCGAAAAGAACCCCGGCGAGGGGAGUGAAAAAGAACCUGAAACCGUGUACGUACAAGCAGUGGGAGCACAGAGCAAUCUGUGUGACUGCGUACCUUUUGUAUAAUGGGUCAGCGACUUAUAUUCUGUAGCAAGGUUAACCGAAUAGGGGAGCCGAAGGGAAACCGAGUCUUAACUGGGCGUUAAGUUGCAGGGUAUAGACCCGAAACCCGGUGAUCUAGCCAUGGGCAGGUUGAAGGUUGGGUAACACUAACUGGAGGACCGAACCGACUAAUGUUGAAAAAUUAGCGGAUGACUUGUGGCUGGGGGUGAAAGGCCAAUCAAACCGGGAGAUAGCUGGUUCUCCCCGAAAGCUAUUUAGGUAGCGCCUCGUGAAUUCAUCUCCGGGGGUAGAGCACUGUUUCGGCAAGGGGGUCAUCCCGACUUACCAACCCGAUGCAAACUGCGAAUACCGGAGAAUGUUAUCACGGGAGACACACGGCGGGUGCUAACGUCCGUCGUGAAGAGGGAAACAACCCAGACCGCCAGCUAAGGUCCCAAAGUCAUGGUUAAGUGGGAAACGAUGUGGGAAGGCCCAGACAGCCAGGAUGUUGGCUUAGAAGCAGCCAUCAUUUAAAGAAAGCGUAAUAGCUCACUGGUCGAGUCGGCCUGCGCGGAAGAUGUAACGGGGCUAAACCAUGCACCGAAGCUGCGGCAGCGACGCUUAUGCGUUGUUGGGUA
rnacentral:rRNA from 1 species